CUUAGCGUUGCUAGCAAAUCAUAAACGUACAGACUAAUACAGCUUGAGUUAUAAUAAGCAUUGAGAUGCGUCUAUCAUUUCUAUCAUUGGCUUUUGCCAUAAUCUUUUUUGUGACAAUUAUGCACGCACCUGAAGCGGAAGCAGAGGCCAUCUCCGAACCUGAUGCAGUAUUUGUGCCCGAUCAAAUUAGGUUGAGAAAAAAAUAGAUUCUUGAAUUUUCCAAACCUUGAAUUUGAAUGUUUAAGGAAUUUACGAAACGCGUACUCGACAUGGCAAAUGAAAUAACUGCAUUUUUCGUGGAAUGAAAUUUCGAUGAAAUUGGGAAAAAUCUUAAAAUCUGCAAUUAAGUUGUCACAUUACAAAAAAUGCAUAAAUGUUAUAUAUUUUUUUCAAACAAAAAUGUGAAUUAUAUUUGUAUGUAUCUAUUGUAUUUGUUUAUAAUUCGCAAUAACAAAUAAACAACAAGCAUGUAUUAACAGUA